rnacentral:misc_RNA from 1 species
UCGUAACAAGGUCUCCGUUGGUGAACCAGCGGAGGGAUCAUUACCGAGUGUAAAAACUCCCAAACCAUUGUGAACCUACCACUGUUGCUUCGGCGGCCUCGCCCCGGGCGCGUUCGCGCGGCCCGGACCCAGGCGUCCGCCGGAGGCUCCAAACUCUUGUCUUUUAGUGUAUUUCUGAGUGGCAUAAGCAAAUAAAUCAAAACUUUCAGCAACGGAUCUCUUGGUUCUGGCAUCGAUGAAGAACGCAGCAAAAUGCGAUAAGUAAUGUGAAUUGCAGAAUUCAGUGAAUCAUCGAAUCUUUGAACGCACAUUGCGCCCGCCAGUAUUCUGGCGGGCAUGCCUGUCUGAGCGUCAUUUCAACCCUCAGGACCCGUUCGCGGGACCUGGCGUUGGGGAUCAGCCUGCCCCUGGCGGCGGCUGGCCCUGAAAUCCAGUGGCGGUUCCCUCGCGAACUCCUCCGUGCAGUAAUUAAACCUCUCGCGGCAGGAUAGCGGUUGAACCACGCCGUUAAACCCCCCACUUCUCAAGGUUGACCUCAGAUCAGGUAGGAAUACCCGCUGAACUUAAGCAUAUCAAUAAGCGGAGGA